GGGCCUAUAGCUCAACGGUAGAGCUCCCGGCUCAUAACCGGGUGGUUCCAGGUUCGAAACCUGGUGGGCCCA
rnacentral:tRNA from 1 species